GACGAACGCUGGCGGCGUGCCUAAUACAUGCAAGUAGAACGCUGAAGGAGGAGCUUGCUUCUCUGGAUGAGUUGCGAACGGGUGAGUAACGCGUAGGUAACCUGCCUGGUAGCGGGGGAUAACUAUUGGAAACGAUAGCUAAUACCGCAUAACAGUAGAUGUUGCAUGACAUUUGCUUAAAAGGUGCAAUUGCAUCACUACCAGAUGGACCUGCGUUGUAUUAGCUAGUUGGUGGGGUAACGGCUCACCAAGGUGACGAUACAUAGCCGACCUGAGAGGGUGAUCGGCCACACUGGGACUGAGACACGGCCCAGACUCCUACGGGAGGCAGCAGUAGGGAAUCUUCGGCAAUGGACGGAAGUCUGACCGAGCAACGCCGCGUGAGUGAAGAAGGUUUUCGGAUCGUAAAGCUCUGUUGUAAGAGAAGAACGAGUGUGAGAU
rnacentral:rRNA from 1 species